GCUGGGCGUGGUGGCGGGCGCCUGUAAUCCCAGCUACUCGGGAGGCUGAGGCAGGAGAAUCACUCGAACCCGGGAGGCGGAGGUUGCAGUGAGCCGGGAUUGCGCCAUUGCACUCCAGCCUGGGCGACAGAGUGAGACUCUGUCUCAA
ensembl:misc_RNA Metazoa_SRP Metazoan signal recognition particle RNA